rnacentral:rRNA from 1 species
UACGGAGGGUGCAAGCGUUAAUCGGAAUUACUGGGCGUAAAGCGCACGCAGGUGGCUGAGUCAGUCGAUUGUGAAAGCCCUGGGCUUAACCUGGGAAUUGCAGUCGAUACUACUCAGCUAGAGUAUGGGAGAGGGCAGUGGAAUUCCCGGUGUAGCGGUGAAAUGCGUAGAUAUCGGGAGGAACAUCAGUGGCGAAGGCGGCUGCCUGGCCCAAUACUGACACUCAGGUGCGACGAGCGUGGGG